rnacentral:rRNA from 1 species
AUUGAACGCUGGCGGCAGGCCUAACACAUGCAAGUCGAACGGUAACAGGAAACAGCUUGCUGUUUCGCUGACGAGUGGCGGACGGGUGAGUAAUGUCUGGGAAACUGCCUGAUGGAGGGGGAUAACUACUGGAAACGGUAGCUAAUACCGCAUAACGUCGCAAGACCAAAGAGGGGGACCUUCGGGCCUCUUGCCAUCGGAUGUGCCCAGAUGGGAUUAGCUAGUAGGUGGGGUAACGGCUCACCUAGGCGACGAUCCCUAGCUGGUCUGAGGGGAUGACCAGCCACACUGGAACGGAGACACGGUCCAGACGCCUACGGGAGGCAGCAGUGGGGAAUAUUGCACAAUGGGCGCAAGCCUGAUGCAGCCAUGCCGCGUGUAUGAAGAAGGCCUUCGGGUUGUAAAGUACUUUCAGCGGGGAGGAAGGGAGUAAAGUCAAUACCUUUGCUCAUUGACGCUACCCGCAGAAGAAGCACCGGCUAACUCCGUGCCAGCAGCCGCCGUAA